UGCGGCAGGCCUAACACAUGCAAGUCGAACGGUAACAGGAAACAGCUUGCUGUUUCGCUGACGAGUGGCGGACGGGUGAGUAAUGUCUGGGAAACUGCCCGAUGGAGGGGGAUAACUACUGGAAACGGUAGCUAAUACCGCAUAACAUCGCAAGACCAAAGAGGGGGACCUUCGGGCCUCUUGCCAUCGGAUGUGCCCAGAUGGGAUUAGCUAGUAGGUGGGGUAACGGCUCACCUAGGCGACGAUCCCUAGCUGGUCUGAGAGGAUGACCAGCCACACUGGAACUGAGACACGGUCCAGACUCCUACGGGAGGCAGCAGUGGGGAAUAUUGCACAAUGGGCGCAAGCCUGAUGCAGCCAUGCCGCGUGUAUGAAGAAGGCCUUCGGGUUGUAAAGUACUUUCAGCGGGGAGGAAGGGAGUAAAGUUAAUACCUUUGCUCAUUGACGUUACCCGCAGAAGAAGCACCGGCUAACUCCGUGCCAGCAGCCGCGGUAAUACGGAGGGUGCAAGCGUUAAUCGGAAUUACUGGGCGUAAAGCGCACGCAGGCGGUUUGUUAAGUCAGAUGUGAAAUCCCCCGGGCUCAACCUGGGAACUGCAUCUGAUACUGGCAAGCUUGAGUCUCGUAGAGGGGGGUAGAAUUCCAGGUGUAGCGGUGAAAUGCGUAGAGAUCUGGAGGAAUACCGGUGGCGAAGGCGGCCCCCUGGACGAAGACUGACGCUCAGGUGCGAAAGCGUGGGGAGCAAACAGGACUAGAUACCCUGGUAGUCCACGCCGUAAACGAUGUCGACUUGGAGGUUGUGCCCUUGAGGCGUGGCUUCCGGAGCUAACGCGUUAAGUCGACCGCCUGGGGAGUACGGCCGCAAGGUUAAAACUCAAAUGAAUUGACGGGGGCCCGCACAAGCGGUGGAGCAUGUGGUUUAAUUCGAUGCAACGCGAAGAACCUUACCUGGUCUUGACAUCCACGGAAGUUUUCAGAGAUGAGAAUGUGCCUUCGGGAACCGUGAGACAGGUGCUGCAUGGCUGUCGUCAGCUCGUGUUGUGAAAUGUUGGGUUAAGUCCCGCAACGAGCGCAACCCUUAUCCUUUGUUGCCAGCGGUCCGGCCGGGAACUCAAAGGAGACUGCCAGUGAUAAACUGGAGGAAGGUGGGGAUGACGUCAAGUCAUCAUGGCCCUUACGACCAGGGCUACACACGUGCUACAAUGGCGCAUACAAAGAGAAGCGACCUCGCGAGAGCAAGCGGACCUCAUAAAGUGCGUCGUAGUCCGGAUUGGAGUCUGCAACUCGACUCCAUGAAGUCGGAAUCGCUAGUAAUCGUGGAUCAGAAUGCCACGGUGAAUACGUUCCCGGGCCUUGUACACACCGCCCGUCACACCAUGGGAGUGGGUUGCAAAAGAAGUAGGUAGCUUAACCUUCGGGAGGGCGCUUACCACUUUGUGAUUCAUGACUGG
rnacentral:rRNA from 1 species